UCACCCAGGCAUUCAUCAGUCGCAUGCAGACUAUCAGGGAGGCUGUUCCCAGUCUGGCUGAUGAUGAGGAGUACAGGGGACCUGUUCAGGAGCCAACCCCAAAGAAAAGGAGAACAUUGGAGAAGACACACGACACCAUUUGGCACUGGAGGUAUGUGACACCAUUAUGAGCCAUGCCAAGGAGAGGUUUUCUUUCACCAAGCACCUCGUCAGCGCCACUCUGUUGCAAGGAGACUUGUUCCAACAACACAGCAGGAAGUUCCCAGAUUCAGCACUGAAAACCACAGUGGAAGCCUACCCUUCACUGGACAAGGCCAAACUUAAAACAGAAUUGUCCCUGAUCUACGAGAACGAGGAGUUCCAGAGUUGCAGUGGUGCACUGGCUCUCUAUCAGGUUUUGAUGGAAAACAACCUUCAAGACACAUUCACUGAAACUGUAAGUCUUCUGAACAUCCUCAUCACCACACCAAUGACAACAUCAGACUCGGAGAGGUGCUUCUCUACUU